rnacentral:rRNA from 1 species
UAAGUCCCGUAACGAGCGCAACCCUUAUCCUUACUUGCCAGCACGUAAUGGUGGGAACUUUAAGGAGACUGCCGGUGACAAACCGGAGGAAGGAGAGGAUGAUGUCAAGUCAUCAUGGCCCUUACGGCCUGGGCUACACACGUGCUACAAUGGGGAGUACAAAGGGUAGCAAUACCGCGAGGUGGAGCAAAUCCCAAAAAACUUCUCGUAGUCCGGAUUGGAGUCUGCAACUCGACUCCAUGAAGUCGGAAUCGCUAGUAAUCGCGAAUCAGCAUGUCGCGGUGAAUACGUUCCCGGGCCUUGUACACACCGCCCGUCAUACCAUGGGAGUGGGUUGCACCAGAAGUGGCUAGUCUAACUUCGGAGGACGGUCACCACGGUGUGAUUCAUGACUGGGGUAAAGUCGUAACAAGGUAGCC